GUGCUUGCUUCUGCAGCACAUAUACUAAAAUUGGAAGGAUCCAGAUAAGAUGAGCAUGGCCCCUGCUCAAGAAUGACGCACAAAGUCGUGAAACGCCCCAUAUUGAA